rnacentral:tRNA from 1 species
GGGCGAUUAGCUCAGUUGGCUAGAGCGCCACGUUGACAUCGUGGAGGUCACAGGUUCGAGCCCUGUAUCGCCCA